UACGAAGGGGGCUAGCGUUGCUCGGAAUCACUGGGCGUAAAGGGUGCGUAGGCGGGUCUUUAAGUCAGGGGUGAAAUCCUGGAGCUCAACUCCAGAACUGCCUUUGAUACUGAGGAUCUUGAGUGACGGGAGAGGUGAGUGGAACUGCGAGUGUAGAGGUGAAAUUCGUAGAUAUUCGCAAGAACACCAGUGGCGAAGGCGGCUCACUGGCCCGUAACUGACGCUGAGGCACGAAAGCGUGGGGAGCAACAGGAUUAAGAAACCCUGGUAC
rnacentral:rRNA from 1 species